CAACUUGGGAAGGUCUUUUACCAGGUAAACACAUGCAUGUAAUAUAAAGUGUUAUUAAUUAUAUCUAAGCCAAAACUAUCAACUAAAAAAAAAAAAAACGUUUUGCAGUGGUUCAAAAUACCAGCCACCACUUGUAUUGAGCAAGAAGAUGACCUAUCUCUUGAGGAGUCAGUGUACAUUAUCAGAGAACUGGCUGCUGAACUGGACAGAGUGGUACAGGUAAACAUUUGGCAUUACAAAAUGAAUUUAAUAUGAAUUUAUCAGAAGUUCAAAUGAUCUACAUUAUGCCCACAGUCCAAGAAGUUAUCCUUGAUGACUCGAAAGAUUAAAAAUAAAGGAAGUAACAAAGAACAUGAAGAACAACAGUAUUAUAUUUUGCAGUGGGCAAAAGAUCUUGAGAACAUAAAGACAAAACAAAUGGACAAGAAAGAGACCUCCUCUGAGCAGUUUAACAAAGCAAAAAAAAUCUUGUCUGACUGGUUUUGGAAACUGAAAGAUUUGAAACAGAACUCAGUAUGUCCAAAGGGGGGAUGGGAAGAAACACUGAGGGAUCUUCACAAAGAGUGGAAGCAGGGAGAGUCCAGCAUGCUUCCAGUAAUGGACUGGAUGGUAUGGGCUGUUCUACAGUCAGAAUGCUCUGAGGUAAAGAAUACAAAAGUUGAUCUUAUAAUGAAAUUUAAAGUUGAAGAAACCAAAAGAUACAAGUAUGCCUGUAUAACUGUAGUCCAU
rnacentral:lncRNA from 1 species